GAUGAACGCUGACAGCAUGCUUAACACAUGCAAGUCAACUUGAAUUUGGGUUUUUAACUUAGGUUUGGGUGGCGGACGGGUGAGUAACGCGUAAAGAACUUGCCUCCCAGCUAGGGACAACACUUGGAAACGAAUGCUAAUACCUAAUAUUAUGAUAAUAGGGCAUCCUAUAGUUAUGAAAGCUAUAAGCGCUGUGAGAGAGCUUUGCGUCCCAUUAGCUAGUUGGAGAGGUAACGGCUCACCAAGGCGAUGAUGGGUAGCCGGCCUGAGAGGGUGAUCGGCCACAAGGGGACUGAGACACGGCCCUUACUCCUCCGGGAGGCAGCAGUGGGGAAUAUUGGACAAUGGACCGAGAGUCUGAUCCAGAAAUUCUGUGUGCACGAUGAAGUUUUUCGGAAUGUAAAGUGCUUUCAGUUGGGAAGAAACGAAUGACGGUACCAACAGAAGAAGUGACGGCUAAAUACGUG
rnacentral:rRNA from 1 species